AUGGAGUAGAAAUGAGCCAGGCAUGCAACGAAACUUCGUCCCUGGUGAGGUCCUGGUAAGUCCCAGGCCCACAGGCUGAGGGUCCUGGGGCAUGUAGUGCCACAUCUCCCUCUUCAGUGAAACAAGAGGCUCUCACAGAGUUCCUCUGAAAGCCUCUUUCAUCAACAAGUCCAUUUGUGAUUCUGUCUCUUCUUGUGGUGACCACCAGGAAAACGAGAGAGCAGAGCUGCAUUCUAGGGUUUUGCUAUGACUCUUCUAGGCCCAAUCUUAAAACUGAGAUGAUCAUGCCAAACCCCCAGCUCCUCCCCUACACUCCAGACUCAGAGUAAGCUCAUUCACCAGGCAAGUGCAAAAAGACCUAGAAGAUCUGCCCAGCCAAGAAGAAGUUUCAAGUCACAAACUUGCACUUUGAGGGGACAACAUGGAACUCUCACCUAUUGAACCCUUACUAUUUGCCAAUAACUGUGGUGAGUACCUUUCAUUUAAUCCUCAUAUCAACUUCAUUAAGUUAACAUUGUCUCCGUUUUAAGCUUGUGGAAACAGAGCUUCAGAGAAGGUAAAUGUGACAAGGUCAUUCAACCAAUAAGUGGUUGAAAUAGGAUUCAAACCCAGCUCUGCCUUCAGUUGCUCUUAACUAUGAUGCUAUAUUUCCAUGAAAUUUUAAUAACUCUCAUCACUACAAAUACUCUUUAUGACACAACUCUUGCAUAAAUUGUUCCCUGACAUACCAUGGGCAUUAUUCUUGUAAUAUUUUCCACUCUUCAAUAUUCAACUUUUAUAUCUUUUAAUGUCCUACUUAAAUCUUAUCUUUGUAAACUAUCACAAGAACAAAAAACCAAA
rnacentral:lncRNA from 1 species